rnacentral:rRNA from 1 species
AGGGAAACCGAGUCUUAACUGGGCGUUAAGUUGCAGGGUAUAGACCCGAAACCCGGUGAUCUAGCCAUGGGCAGGUUGAAGGUUGGGUAACACUAACUGGAGGACCGAACCGACUAAUGUUGAAAAAUUAGCGGAUGACUUGUGGCUGGGGGUGAAAGGCCAAUCAAACCGGGAGAUAGCUGGUUCUCCCCGAAAGCUAUUUAGGUAGCGCCUCGUGAACUCAUCUUCGGGGGUAGAGCACUGUUUCGGCUAGGGGGUCAUCCCGACUUACCAACCCGAUGCAAACUGCGAAUACCGAAGAAUGUUAUCACGGGAGACACACGGCGGGUGCUAACGUCCGUCGUGAAGAGGGAAACAACCCAGACCGCCAGCUAAGGUCCCAAAGUCACAGUUAAGUGGGAAACGAUGUGGGAAGGCUCAGACAGCCAGGAUGUUGGCUUAGAAGCAGCCAUCAUUUAAAGAAAGCGUAAUAGCUCACUGGUCGAGUCGGCCUGCGCGGAAGAUGUAACGGGGCUAAACUGUGCACCGAAGCUGCGGCAGCGACGCUUAUGCGUUGUUGGGUAGGGGAGCGUUCUGUAAGCCUGCGAAGGUGUCCUGUGAGGGAUGCUGGAGGUAUCAGAAGUGCGAAUGCUGACAUAAGUAACGAUAAUGCGGGUGAAAAGCCCGCUCGCCGGAAGACCAAGGGUUCCUGUCCAACGUUAAUCGGGGCAGGGUGAGUCGACCCCUAAGGCGAGGCCGAAAGGCGUAGUCGAUGGGAAACGGGUUAAUAUUCCCGUACUUGGUGUUACUGCGAAGGGGGGACGGAGAAGGCUAUGUUGGCCGGGCGACGGUUGUCCCGGUUUAAGCGUGUAGGCUGGUUUUCCAGGCAAAUCCGGAAAAUCAAGGCUGAGGCGUGAUGACGAGGCACUACGGUGCUGAAGCAACAAAUGCCCUGCUUCCAGGAAAAGCCUCUAAGCAUCAGGUAACAUCAAAUCGUACCCCAAACCGACACAGGUGGUCAGGUAGAGAAUACCAAGGCGCUUGAGAGAACUCGGGUGAAGGAACUAGGCAAAAUGGUGCCGUAACUUCGGGAGAAGGCACGCUGACACGUAGGUGAAGUGAUUUACUCAUGGAGCUGAAGUCAGUCGAAGAUACCAGCUGGCUGCAACUGUUUAUUAAAAACACAGCACUGUGCAAACACGAAAGUGGACGUAUA